rnacentral:rRNA from 1 species
GACGAACGCUGGCGGCGUGCUUAACACAUGCAAGUCGAGCGGUAAGGCUCCUUCGGGAGUACACGAGCGGCGAACGGGUGAGUAACACGUGAGCAAUCUGCCCUUCACUUUGGGAUAACCCCGGGAAACCGGGGCUAAUACCGAAUACGACCACCGAUGGCAUCGUCUGGUGGUGGAAAGUUCCGGCGGUGAAGGAUGAGCUCGCGGCCUAUCAGCUAGUUGGUGGGGUAACGGCCCACCAAGGCAUUGACGGGUAGCCGGCCUGAGAGGGUGACCGGCCACACUGGGACUGAGACACGGCCCAGACUCCUACGGGAGGCAGCAGUGGGGAAUAUUGGACAAUGGGCGAAAGCCUGAUCCAGCAACGCCGCGUGAGGGAUGACGGCCUUCGGGUUGUAAACCUCUUUCAGCAGGGACGAAGCGAAAGUGACUUUACCUGCAGAAGAAGCACCGGCCAACUACGUGCCAGCCGCCGCCGUAACAC